GACAGAGGUGGCGAGCGUUGUUCGGAAUUACUGGGCUUAAAGGGCGAGUAGGCGGUGGAGCAAGUCUGAGGUGGAAUCCUACGGCUUAACCGUAGAACUGCCUUAGAAACUGUUUUACUUGAGUCAAUGAGGGGAGGGCGGAAUUCCUGGUGUAGCGGUGAAAUGCGUAGAUAUCAGGAGGAAGGCCUGUGGCGAAAGUGGCCCUCUGGCAUUGUACUGACGCUGAGGCGCGAAAGCGUGGGGAGCAAACAGG
rnacentral:rRNA from 1 species